GCCCAGCUAGCUCAGUUGGUAGAGCAUGAGACUCUUAAUCUCAGGGUUAUGGGUUUGUGCUCCACAAUGGGCA
rnacentral:tRNA from 1 species